UGAGAUGUAGCUCAGUUGAUAGAGUGCUUGCCUAGCAUGCAUGGAGCCCUGGGUUCGAUUCCCAGAGCUACAU
rnacentral:tRNA from 1 species